rnacentral:rRNA from 1 species
CUGCUGCCUCCCGUAGGAGUCUGGUCCGUGUCUCAGUACCAGUGUGGGGGACCUUCCUCUCAGAACCCCUAGACAUCGUCGCCUUGGUGGGCCGUUACCCCGCCAACAAGCUAAUGUCACGCAUGCCCAUCCGUCUCCGGAGUCGCCUCCUUUGGCCGAAAGAAGAUGCCUCCCCUCGGCCACAUGCGGUAUUAGGCCGGAUUUCUCCGGGUUAUCCCGCUGAAACGGGCAGGUUGCAUACGCGUUACGCACCCGUCGCGUCGCCGG